rnacentral:rRNA from 1 species
GAACCGUUUAGGGGUAAACCUGAGAAACCCGAAAGGUCGAAGGGAGAAAUUCAAUCGCGUUCGGCCGACGGCGUACAACGUUCGAAGCUACGCAUCGUCUUCGGGCGAAGCGUGCCCUACGUUUGUCGUAUUUAACGUCGCCGAACGCGUGCACUUUUCUCCUUGUAGGACGUCGCGAUCCGUUGGGCGUCGGUUUAAGGCUCGCGGUGGAGCUCUGUGGCGCUUCGGCGCCGUAGAACCCGCGAUCGCCCGACCGACACGCUCGACGGUAUAAUGAUGGCGCGAGGCCGCUGACUUACGUUAGCGUCCGACCCGUGGCAAGCGCACCGACCGUGUCGGCAAGCGGACCCAGUGCCGAUGCCGUACGCCGGUGACCGUUGGCCGCGGUGUUCUCGGACAGACUUCGACAACGCC